UACGUAGGGGGCAAGCGUUGUCCGGAUUUAUUGGGCGUAAAGAGCGUGUAGGCGGCCAUGCAGGUCCGUUGUGAAAACUCGAGGCUCAACCUCGAGACGCCGGUGGAAACCGUGUGGCUAGAGUCCGGAAGAGGAGAGUGGAAUUCCUGGUGUAGCGGUGAAAUGCCCAGAUAUCAGGAAGAACACCCGUGGCGAAGGCGGCUCUCUGGGACGUGACUGACGCUGAGACGCGAAAGCGUGGGGAGCAAACAGG
rnacentral:rRNA from 1 species